rnacentral:rRNA from 1 species
UACGGGGGGGGCAAGCGUUGUUCGGAAUUACUGGGCGUAAAGGGCGCGUAGGCGGCUCGCUAAGUCGGGUGUGAAAACUCUGGGCUCAACCCAGAGCCUGCAUUCGAAACUGACGAGCUAGAGUUCUGGAGGGGAAAGCGGAAUUCCUGGUGUAGCGGUGAAAUGCGUUGAUAUCAGGAGGAACACCGGCGGCGAAGGCGACGCUCUGGUCCAUUACUGACGCUGAGGUGCGAAAGCCAGGGGAGCAAACGGG